AUUGAACGCUGGCGGCAGGCCUAACACAUGCAAGUCGAACGAGUGGCGGACGGGUGAGUAAUGUCUGGGAAACUGCCCGAUGGCGGGGGAUAACUACUGGAAACGGUAGCUAAUACCGCAUACCAUCGGAUGUGCCCAGAUGGGAUUAGCUGGUGGGUGGGGUAACGGCUCACCUAGGCGACGAUCCCUAGCUGGGCGGAGAGGAUGACCAGCCACACUGGAACGGAGACACGGUCCAGAUCCCUACGGGAGGCAGCAGUGGGGAAUAUUCCACAAUGGGCGCAAGCCUGAUGCAGCCAUGCGGCGUGUAUGAAGAAGGCCUUCGGGUUGUAAAGUACUUUCAGCGAGGAGGCGGUACUCGCAGAAGAAGCACCGGCUAACUACGUGCCAGCAGCCGCGGUAAUUC
rnacentral:rRNA from 1 species